AAUCAACGCUGGCGGCGUGCCUAACACAUGCAAGUCGAACGCGAAAGGGACUUCGGUCCUGAGUAGAGUGGCGAACGGGUGAGUAACGCGUGGGUGACCUACCCUCGAGUGGGGGAUAACGUUCCGAAAGGGACGCUAAUACCGCAUGACAUUCCGGGUUUGAAGACCUGGAAAUCAAAGCCGGGGACCGCAAGGCCUGGCGCUAGAGGAGGGGCCCGCGUCUGAUUAGCUAGUUGGCGGGGUAACGGCCCACCAAGGCGACGAUCAGUAGCCGGCCUGAGAGGGCGGACGGCCACACUGGGACUGAGACACGGCCCAGACUCCUACGGGAGGCAGCAGUGGGGAAUUGUUCGCAAUGGGCGCAAGCCUGACGACGCAACGCCGCGUGGAGGAUGAAGGUCUUCGGAUCGUAAACUCCUGUUGAUCGGGACGAAAAGCUUCGACCUAAUACGUCGAAGACUGACGGUACCGGUUGAGGAAGCCACGGCUAACUCUGUGCCAGCCGCCGCGGUAAG
rnacentral:rRNA from 1 species